rnacentral:lncRNA from 1 species
CUUUCCCUCUAUGCUAUACUUAUCCAGUCUAUUCAAUUCUUCAUAUGCGUUCUACUUGAAACUUUGUUCAAAAUCCUCACUGCAUCCUUGUCAGCUGAUGAUUUUGUAACAAAAAUCCUCAAAUCUUCAAAAAUUGUUUUCUUCAAAGGAACAGUAACUGAACCCCCACUUCCCACGAUAGGAUAACCACGAUCUCCACUAUCUCCACCGCAUCGUACGGGAGCUACACGUGUCCUGCGGAGACGUAGAGGCAAGGGCUAUUCGGUCCGAAACUUUUGCGCCAAACAGUAACUUUCGGACUAUAAAUAGGUCCUUAUCCCCCUCGGUAUCUUCUUCUUCGCCUCAUCGCUCUCCUGCCAUCACACUCUCCAUCGAACCCUAGCGCCACCGCUGGUUGUCUUGUCGCCGGCAAGGAAGAGCUUCACUGCAUCAACCUUUUCACCGCCAGGAUCAUGCCGGAGUCGGAACAUCUACGUCCGCCGCCGCCGUAGACGUCCUCUGCUGCCAAGUUAGGGUGCAUUGGACACUCGACCGAAGAGCCUCUCCAACACCACCUUUUGAGUUCUUCGUUCGCACCUUCCAGGGUAAAUAUAUCCCAUUUUUACAGCAGAUUAGAUCUAAAAUUUUACCUCUCCCAUGUGGAAUCUGUUUUCCUCAAGAUACGAUGCGCACAUGAUUCCUCAAACACUAUCUAUCACCACAAUCAUUGAUGAACUAGCUAAGCAUCUAAGUUUUUCACGAGAUUCCUCAAUUGUGCGAAUUUUCGGAUCUGUACAACUCUAGAACCCAAGAACAGUAUGCUUAGGCAAAUUCCUCAACCA